GGCGCGGCGGACUGAGGGGCGGGCGGCCCGAGAGUGAUCGCAGCCUCUUCAUCGUUCCCCACCGCCUCCGCUUUUGGGGAUUGGGGGUUCGGUUGCCUCGGCCGAUGGGGUGGUGGCUGCGGGGCUGGCACUGUUGUGAGGUCUGUGAGGAAAAGGCAGCGAAGGGCUGUGCCCCAGGACAGCAGCCCCGUGGCUGUGCGGGCAGGAGCUGCUGUCACACAGAGUGCCAAAGAGCGCCCUGUGGAGCAUCACCAGCAUAACUGCUGGCUGCCGGUGCUCUGCCACGGCUUUUUAUCAGGUGCCUGAUGUCUGUUUGGAGAAUGGGAAUGACCUUAAUUUGGCCUUCUAGCCUGUUUUUUUUUUUUUUUUUUUCUUCUUAAAAGUUUCAAAAUAUCUGCAGAGAUUUAGUUUGCUCGUUUACACUCCUUGGUUUAAGACAAGCUCAGAAGCUCAUUAGGAUGCCUUAAUCCUCUGAAAAAGAACUAGAAGUAUAUACAAAUUGCUGACAAGGAUAAAUAUUAGUUGUGUACAACACAUUAUUGAAUAUGCUGUUUGCUUUCAAAAUUUUGAUGUGCUAAAAUAAAA